AGGGUCCUUGAUCCAUAUCGAAGUUCUCUAUCAUCAACAACCGUGGAAGCAUUGGUUUGCACCCAGGAUUGGCUUAAAGUAAAAGAUCAAGACAUUGAGACUUCAUCUGUGGUUACAAAUGAUGAUCUUGACACUCUACAUGAACUUGAGCAAGAUAUUCUUUCUCAAUUAAAUUUUGAUGGCCAUUCGGCUUCUUUGAGGCUUGAUGAUGAUUGAAGAAGGUCUAAAUAAUGCCUGGCCAGGGGGAAUGUACUGGUGAUUGAGACUUGAGAGGGACAUAGAGAGGUAGAAAACCAACUUUUGUCUAAGGGUAUUCUCUAACUUUUGAAUUUUCUACCCUUAGAUAGGGACAUAUUUAUUGCUUUAUUAUUAUGUUGGUGUCCAACAUCCAUUUUAUCAUUGCAGUGAGGCCUAAAGGAAGCAGUGAUAAUUUCCUAACAUUGCAUUUCUAAUGCUGCUACUUAUGGUUUCUCAUUGUCUUGGUCCCUAAGCUCUUUGGUUCUAAUAUAUAGCUUCUCCUAAUUACACAUCACUAGCUCUGUAGUUAGGAUAUUGCAUUCACU